GCCACUGUGGCGUAACGGCAGCCGCGCUAGGCUUAGAACCUAGUAUCCGAAAGGGUGUGUGGGUUCGAAUCCCUCCAGUGGUACCA
rnacentral:tRNA from 1 species